CCACUGGGUGCCGCUGGCAAGCGGAGCCACAGAGUAAGCCUCCAGCAGGGUAGAGUGACAACUCGCAAUCGGAAGUUACUGUUGAAGCUAAGGCAGCCAUAACUGAUAAUGGCAGGGAGUUUCCUGGCCUCCCGUCUCCAGUGUGACGUAGUUUUCCCUUCGCCCAAAUCUCACCGUUGCCCUGGGCAACAGUCGAGCCGUCUGGGAAGGUAAAUCUGUAAGUAGGCCCGAAAAAGGACCAAAGGUGACCAGACAUCCCAGUUUCUUCUGUAGGCUUGAGUCAAGAACUUUAAGUCAUCUUGGUAAUACUGGGUUGGAUGCCUAACGUUGCCGGGAAAAAGACCGGGAGAACUUUCAGGAAAAAACUUAGCUGUAUCCAACAAUUCAGAUAUGGCGGAAGUGAAGUCAAUGUUUCGGGAAGUUCUUCCAAAACAAGGGCAGUUGUCAGUGGAAGAUAUAACCACAAUGGUGCUGUGUAAACCCAAACUUUUGCCCUUAAAAUCUCUGACUCUGGAAAAACUGGAGAAAAUGCAGCAAGCAGCCCAGGAUACGAUUCGCCAACAAGAAAUGGCAGAAAAGGAACAACAGCAAAUAACUCACUGAAUGGUAACUUUGCAGUUCUACAGAAUACCCUGCCUUACUAUUAACAAUAGGCUAGACAAUAACUUGCAUCUGUAUACUGAAGAUGGUGUGUGUUAAUAAAACUGAUAGUGCUUAUAAAAUAAAAAUACCCAAAACUAGUGAAACCUGUGAAUUUAGACACACUCUGGUUUGUAUUGAACAUGAGCAAUUAAAAAACUGAACCCAAA